UUGCUAGGGGAGCCGAAAGGCUGAGAAAGAAUUAUAUCUUGACCCUUGGAACCUGAUAUGGUUAAUACCAGCGUAGGGAAGCAAAAUUUUAA
rnacentral:ncRNA from 1 species